UGGUCCUAGCCUUGAAGUCAGUUUUUACUCAAUAUAUACAUGCAAGUCUCUGCACCCCUGUGAGAACGCCCUUAAAUCCCCGCUAGGGAUAAGGAGCCGGUAUCAGGCGCAAUAAUCUGCCCAAGACACCUAGCUAUGCCACACCCCCAAGGGAAUUCAGCAGUAAUUAACAUUGAAUAUGAGCGCCAGCUUGAUUCAGUUAGAGUAAACAGGGCCGGCUAAUCUGGUGCCAGCCGCCGCGGUUACACCACGUGGCCCAAAUUGACACUUUUCGGCGUAAAGCGUGAUUAAAGUCAUCCUAUAUUGAAGAUUAAUUUAAACUAAGCUGUGACACGCUUGUUAUCAAGAAACUCAAACACGAAAGUUGCUUCAACCCUACCAACUUGAACUCACGACAGCUGGGGUACAAACUGGGAUUAGAUACCCCACUAUGCCCAGCCGUAAACUUUAACCUACACCACCAUCGCCUGGGAACUACGAGCAAAGCUUAAAACCCAAAGGACUUGACGGUACCCCACAUCCACCUAGAGGAGCCUGUCCUGUAAUCGAUAACCCCCGUUAAACCUCACCAUUUUUAGCUUAUCAGCCUGUAUACCUCCGUCGCCAGCUUACCACGUGAGCGAGAUUUAGUGAGCUUAAUGUCCAUACGUCAGUACGUCAGGUCAAGGUGCAGCAAAUAAAAUGGGAAGAGAUGGGCUACACUCUCUAUAAUAGAAGAAACGAAAGACUAAUUAUGAAACCUAGUCAGAAGGCGGAUUUAGUAGUAAAGGGAAACAAGAGUGUUCACUUUAACUUGGCCCUGGGGUGUGUACACACCGCCCGUCACCCUCUUCAAAGGUAAUAGACAGUAUUUAACAAGUUUUAGCUUUUCAGAAGAGGCAAGUCGUAACAUGGUAAGUAUACCGGAAGGUGUGCUUGGAAA
rnacentral:ncRNA from 1 species